UUCCUUUCUCGUUCUCUCUCUCCGCUCUUUCUCCUUCCCCGGCCCGAACACUUCCGGUCGUCAAAUCUCGCCGCCUCACCUCGCCGCCGGCGAAACCCGACCGCUCGGCAGGCAACCGCAGCACCGGCCGGAGGCCCGCGCUUGUAGGAUUUUCCGAGAUGGGGAAGAAGCAGCACAGCAAGGACCGGAUGUUCAUAACGGCGACGGAGUGGGCAACGGAGUGGGGCGGCGCCAAGAACAGGGAGGCCACUGCGCCAUUCCAGCGCCUCCCCUUCUACUGCUGCGCGCUCACGUUUUUGCCAUUUGAGGAUCCAGUGUGCACGGUGGAUGGAAGUGUCUUUGAUUUAAUGAGCAUAAUCCCAUAUAUUAAAAAAUUUGGGAAGCAUCCAGUAACUGGAGCAGCGCUGAAGCAGGAUGAUCUAAUUCCUCUUACGUUCCAUAAGAACACGGACGGGGAGUUUCAGUGUCCUGUCUUGAAUAAAGUUUUUACAGAAUUCACACAUAUAGUUGCUGUAAAGACUACUGGGAACGUCUUCUGUUAUGAGGCAAUCCAUGAGCUUAACAUUAAACCGAAGAAUUGGAAAGAGUUGCUAACUGAUGAGCCCUUCGCACGAAAGGACUUGAUAACAAUUCAGAAUCCAAAUGCGCUUGAUAGCAAGGUACUAGGGGAAUUUGACCAUGUCAAACAAGGCCUCAAACUUGAGGAUGAAGAGUUGCAGCGAAUGAAAGAUGAUCCAACCUACAACAUAAAUGUUUCUGGUGAUCUUAAGCAAAUGAUGAAGGAACUGGGGACUGAAAAAGGGAAGAUGGCUUUUCUGCAUGGUGGAGGAGGACAGAAAGCUCAAAAAGAAAGAGCUGCAGCUCUAGCUGUCAUUUUAGCAAAAAAAGAAGAGGGUGAAUCAAAAUCAGGCAAAGAAGCAAAACCUCCUCAACCGUUCAGUGUUGUUGAUGCUGCAUCAGCCUCUGUUCAUGGCAGGAGUGCAGCAGCAGCAAAAUCUGGUACUGCUGAGAAAACUGCUGCUAGAAUUGCUAUGCACAUGGCAGGGGAUCGAGCUCCUGUGAAUGCCAAGUUGGUUAAAAGUCGUUACACUACUGGAGCAGCUUCACGUUCUUUCACGUCGACUGCCUAUGAUCCUGUUACCAAAAAUGAAUUUGAGUAUGUCAAAGUUGAAAAGAAUCCAAAAAAGAAAGGAUAUGUUCAGUUGCAUACCACCCAUGGUGAUUUGAAUUUGGAGCUUCAUUGUGAUAUUACUCCUCGAACGUGUGAAAACUUCCUCACUCAUUGUGAAAACGGUUACUACAAUGGCCUUAUCUUCCAUCGUAGCAUCAAGAACUUUAUGAUACAAGGAGGUGAUCCAACUGGCACAGGAAGUGGAGGGGAGUCCAUAUGGGGUCAACCUUUCAAGGAUGAAUUGAAUUCAAAGCUGCUACAUUCAGGAAGAGGUGUUGUCAGCAUGGCAAAUUCUGGCCCCCAUACUAAUGGAUCCCAAUUUUUCAUCUUGUACAAGUCUGCAGCCCAUUUAAAUUUCAAGCACACAGUAUUUGGCAUGGUGGUCGGUGGUUUGACCACUCUUUCAACUAUGGAAAAGGUCCCUGUUGAUGACGAUGACCGGCCAUUGGAGGAAAUAAAGUUACUAAAAGUUAGUGUAUUUGUGAAUCCUUACAUGGAACCAGAUGAAGAGGAAGAAAAGGCAAAGAUUGAGGAGCAGAACAAGGAUGCUGAUCAUGAUAAGGUGGGAUCAUGGUAUAGCAACCCAGGAACUGGUGUUGCUGCUUCAACAAGUGCUGGUAGUGGAGUUGGCAAGUAUCUGAAAGCUCGGGCAGCUGGCUCUGCUGAUGUUGCCAGAAAUGCUGCAGCAGCAGAUGAUUCAAGCAAGAAAAGAAAAGUGAAUGCUCCUAGUGUAGAAUUCAAAGAUUUCUCUGGAUGGUAGCUGCAUUGUAUAUGUGAAUUGCCCUAUGGUUCUCUCUGAAGAAGCAACUGGUUGGGACUUUGGUAACAUUUGACAUGUCCGUUCAUGUUAUGAUGCUGUAAUAACUGUCCAGAAUGCCCAAGGUCCACAAUUAGCAGUGUCCUGUGGAAUCUCUGAUUAGGACAUGAUAUUGCUUCAAAUUAAUGCUGACAAAGCAGAUUGUAGGAUUGCAGUUUGUGCGACAAAGAGGCUGAGCUAUUGACAGAGAGUCAGAGAGAAUACUGGAUGGAGUUAAUUUUUUCACCUGUCUAUGGAAUGAAUUACAGUAUUACAUAUAGAACAUAGAAAAUCCAAGUGGAAACUCCAUGUUUGUGAUUAUGUGUUUGUAUGUUACUGUUCUUCAUGGCAUGUUGUACUAAUACUUUGUCAUUUCUGGACAACCGCUUUUAACAGUCAUCUUUUCAGUUUCACACA